rnacentral:misc_RNA from 1 species
GAUGAAGAACGCAGCGAAAUGCGAUAAGUAAUGUGAAUUGCAGAAUUCAGUGAAUCAUCGAAUCUUUGAACGCACAUUGCGCCGCUUGGUAGUCCAUGGGGCAUGCCUGUUCGAGCGUCAUUUACACCCUCAAGCUCUGCUUGGUGUUGGGCGUCUGUCCCGCUGCUUUGCGCGGACUCGCCUCAAAGGUAUUGGCAGCGAUCAUGCCAGCUUCUCGCGCAGCACAUUGCGCUUCUUGAAGUUCUGGUGGAUCAGCGUCCAUUAAGCUUACCUUCAUGACUUGACCUCGGAUCAGGUAGGGAUACCCGCUGAACUUAAGCAUAUCAAUAAGCGGAGGA